rnacentral:rRNA from 1 species
GACGAACGCUGGCGGCGUGCCUAAUACAUGCAAGUCGAGCGAAUCAAUAGGAGCUUGCUCCUGUUGAUUAGCGGCGGACGGGUGAGUAACACGUGGGCAACCUGCCUGUAAGACUGGGAUAACACCGGGAAACCGGUGCUAAUACCGGAUAAUCCUUUUCCUCUCAUGAGGGAAAGCUGAAAGUCGGUUUCGGCUGACACUUACAGAUGGGCACGCGGCGCAGUAGCGAGUUGGUGAGGUAACGGCUCACCAAGGCGACGAUGCGUAGCCGACCUGAGAGGGUGAUCGGCCACACUGGGACUGAGACACGGCCCAGACUCCUACGGGAGGCAGCAGUAGGGAAUCUUCCACAAUGGACGAAAGUCUGAUGGAGCAACGCCGCGUGAGCGAUGAAGGCCUUCGGGUCGUAAAGCUCUGUUGUUAGGGAAGAACAAGUACCGGAGUAACUGCCGGUACCUUGACGGUACCUAACCAGAAAGCCACGGCUAACUACGUGCCAGCCGCCGCCGUAA